rnacentral:tRNA from 1 species
GUGGGUAUAGCUCAGUUGGUUAGAGUACCGGAUUGUGGUUCCGGGGGUCGUGGGUUCGAGCCCCAUUACCCACCCCA